rnacentral:rRNA from 1 species
AUUGAACGCUGGCGGCAGGCCUAACACAUGCAAGUCGAGCGGAUGAAGGGAGCUUGCUCCUGGAUUCAGCGGCGGACGGGUGAGUAAUGCCUAGGAAUCUGCCUGGUAGUGGGGGAUAACGUCCGGAAACGGGCGCUAAUACCGCAUACGUCCUGAGGGAGAAAGUGGGGGAUCUUCGGACCUCACGCUAUCAGAUGAGCCUAGGUCGGAUUAGCUAGUUGGUGGGGUAAAGGCCUACCAAGGCGACGAUCCGUAACUGGUCUGAGAGGAUGAUCAGUCACACUGGAACUGAGACACGGUCCAGACUCCUACGGGAGGCAGCAGUGGGGAAUAUUGGACAAUGGGCGAAAGCCUGAUCCAGCCAUGCCGCGUGUGUGAAGAAGGUCUUCGGAUUGUAAGGCACUUUAAGUUGGGAGGAAGGGCAGUAAGUUAAUACCUUGCUGUUUUGACGUUACCAACAGAAUAAGCCCCGGCUAACUUCGUG